AAAUGGGGAUCUUUUAUUACACUGUUGUGGAGGUACGGGGUUCUACAGAAGGAUAAACUAACAACUGAAAACGUGUGCUUUUUAGGAAAGCCUAUAAUUUACGAGCACUUGAACACAUUUCCUAAUCCAUUCAGUGGGCUGUCUCUCUCCUGUCCUCUCCUGUCUCUCUCUCGUUCUUCUUCCUUGUUCUCUCUCUUGUGCUCUCUCUCUCGUUUCCUGUCUGUCUCUCUCUCUUCUCCUGUUCUCUCUUUUCUGUCUCUCUCCUGUCUCUCUCCUGUCUCUCUCUCUCCUGUCUCUCUCCUGUCUCUCUUCCUGUCUCUCUCUGUCUCUCUCCUGUCUCUCUCCUGUCUCUCCUCUCUCUCUCCUUGUCUCUCUCCUGGGUCUCUCUCUGUCUUUCUCUCUCUCUCCUGUCUCUCUCCUGUCUCUCUCCUGUCUCUCUCUCGUCUCUCUCCUGUCUCUCUCUGUCGCUCUCUCCUGUCUCUCUCCUGUCUCUCUCUCGUCUCUCUCCUGUCUCUCUUCCUGUCUCUCUCUCUCCUGUCUCUCUCCUGUCUCGCUCUCCUGUCUCUCUCCUGUCUCUCUUCCUGUCUCUCUCCUGUCUCUCUCUGUCUCUCUCUCCGUCUCUCUCUCCUGUCUCUCUCCUGUCUCUCUCUCUCUCUCCUGCUCUCUCCUGUCUCUCUCCUGUCUCUCUCCUGUUCUCUCCUGUCUCUCUCCUGUCUCUCUGUCUCUCUCUCUCUCUUCCUGUCUCCUCCUGCUCUCUCUGGUCUCUCUCCUGUCUCUCUCCUGUCUCUCUCUCUCUCUCCCUGUCUCUCUCCUGUCUCUCUCCUGUCUCUCUCCUGUCUCUCUCUGUCUCUCUCUCGUCUCUCUCUGUCUCUUUCUCUCGUCUCUCUUCCUGUCUCUCUCCUGUCUCUCUCCUGUCUCUCUCCUGUCUCUCUCUCGUCUCUCUCCUGUUCUCUCUCUCGGUCUCUCUCUGUCUCUCUCCUGUCUCUCUCCUGUCUCUCUCCUGUCUCUCUCCUGUCUCUCCUGUCUUCUCCUGUCUCUCCCUGUCUCUUCUCUCCUGUCUCUCUCCUGUCUCUCUCCUGUCUCUCUCCUGUCUCUUCCUGUCUCUCUCCUGUCUCUCUCUCCUGUCUCUCUCUCCUGUCUCUCUCCUGUCUCUCCUCUCUCUCUCCUGUCUUCUCUCCUGUCUCUCUCCUGUCUCUCUCCUGUCUCUCUCUCCUCUCUGCUCCGUCUCUCCUGUCUCUCUCCUGUCUCUCUCCUGUCUCUCUCCUGUCUCUCUCCUGUCUCUCUCCUUCUCUCUCCUGUCUCUCUCCUGCUCUCUCUCCGUCUCUCUCCUGUUCCCUGUCUCCUCUCUCUGUCUCUCUCCUGUCCUCUCUCUCCUGUUCUCUUCUCCUGUCUCUCUCCUGUCUCUCUCCUGUCUCUCUCCUGUCUCUCUCUCCUGUCUCUCUCUCCUGUCUCUCUCUCCUGUCUCUUCUCCUGUCUUCUCUCUCUCUCGUCUCCUCUGUCUCUCUCCUGUCUACUCUCCGUCUCUCUUCCUGUCUCUCUCCUGUCUCUCUCCUGUCUUCUUCCUGUCUCUCUCCCUUCUCUUCUCUCUCUCUAUCCCAUUUCUGUAAAGUUAAAGCAUCUGAAGCUGGACCAUUUAUGACGAAAUUCAAGUCAUAUGCCAAUAAACGUAAUUUACUUUCUAGUUUUCAAGAAACAGAUGAGGAUCGGUGUGAUGUCACUAUGUCAACCUCCCCAAACACAGGGGUAAAGAGAAAACGCAAUACAUCCGGAUUGGAUUGUUCAUCUGCGUGCGUAAAGAUGAAUCAUUCAAUCUUUCUGAUCCAAUUGACAGGUCACGAUCGCGCCGCGCGCCUAUAUAAAACGGUCACAACAUUCGAGAACACCCAACCAACGGAAGAACCCGCCAACAAGAACGUCCGUUGA
ensembl:lncRNA